rnacentral:rRNA from 1 species
UACAGAGAGUGCAAGCGUUAAUCGGAAUUACUGGGCGUAAAGCGCGUGUAGGUGGAUAUUUAAGUCGGAUGUGAAAUCCCCAGGCUUAACUUGGGAACUGCAUUCGAUACUGGCUAUCUAGAGUACAGUAGAGGGAAGUGGAAUUUCCGGUGUAGCGGUGAAAUGCGUAGAUAUCGGAAAGAACACCAAUGGCGAAGGCAACUUCCUGGACUAAUACUGACACUGAGGCGCGAAAGCGUGGGGAG